rnacentral:tRNA from 1 species
GGGAAUAUAGCUCAGUGGCACAGCACCUGCCUGCUAAGCCUGAGGUUGUGAGUUCAAUCCUCAGUAAUACCA